rnacentral:rRNA from 1 species
AAUGAACGCUGGCGGCGCGCCUAAUACAUGCAAGUCGAGCGAGAAGACGUAGCAAUACGUUUGUAAAGCGGCGAACGGGUGAGGAAUACAUGGGUAACCUACCCUCGAGUGGGGAAUAACUAGCCGAAAGGUUAGCUAAUACCGCGUACGCUUCUUGGACUUCGGUUCAGGGAGGAAAGCGAUGCCGAGGGUAUCGCGCUCUUGGAUGGGCUCAUGUCCUAUCAGCUUGUUGGGAGGUAACGGCUCACCAAGGCUUCGACGGGUAGCUAGUCUGAGAGGACGAUCAGCCACACUGGCACUGCGACACGGGCCAGACUCCUACGGGAGGCAGCAGUAAGGAAUAUUGCGCAAUGGGCGAAAGCCUGACGCAGCGACGCCGCGUGGGGGAGUGAA